rnacentral:rRNA from 1 species
UUCUCGGCAAAUUAUCCUCAUAAGUUUGACAAGAAGAGGAACCAUGAAUCUUAGUAAAUUAAUAACUCCUAUUAAUUUAUUUAUAUGGUGGCACAAAAUCGGAAGCCCCGACUGUUUACUAAAAACACAACUAUCUGCAAUUAUGAAAAUAAUAGUAUAGGUAGUGAGAUUUGCCCAAUGCCAAAUUAAUAAGUAAUAAUAAUGGGUAACUGUUUAUUUACAAAAAAUUGGUUAAUAGCGGUCUUAACUAUGAGGAUCCUAAGGUAGCAAAAUAAAUUGGCCAUUAAAUGUGGUCCAGUAUCAAUAAUUUAACGAUGGCUUCACUGUCUCAACAACUUGCUCAGUGAAAUUGAAUUACCCGUGCAGAUGCGGGUUACCUCAAAGAGGACGGGAAGACCCUAUGCAGCUUCUACUGA